rnacentral:rRNA from 1 species
UACGGGGGGAGCAAGCGUUGUUCGGAUUUACUGGGCGUAAAGGGCGCGUAGGCGGUCAGCACAAGUCAGUUGUGAAAUCUCCGGGCUUAACUCGGAAAGGUCAACUGAUACUGUGCGACUAGAGUGCGGAAGGGGCAACUGGAAUUCUCGGUGUAGCGGUGAAAUGCGUAGAUAUCGAGAGGAACACCGGCGGCGAAGGCGGGUUGCUGGGCCGACACUGACGCUGAGGCGCGAAAGCCAGGGGAGCGAACGGG